AGGGAAUCUUCGGCAAUGGGGGCAACCCUGACCGAGCAACGCCGCGUGAGUGAAGAAGGUUUUCGGAUCGUAAAGCUCUGUUGUAAGUCAAGAACGAGUGUGAGAGUGGAAAGUUCACACUGUGACGGUAGCUUACCAGAAAGGGACGGCUAACUACGUGCCAGCAGCCGCGGUAAUACGUAGGUCCCGAGCGUUGUCCGGAUUUAUUGGGCGUAAAGCGAGCGCAGGCGGUUUGAUAAGUCUGAAGUUAAAGGCUGUGGCUCAACCAUAGUUCGCUUUGGAAACUGUCAAACUUGAGUGCAGAAGGGGAGAGUGGAAUUCCAUGUGUAGCGGUGAAAUGCGUAGAUAUAUGGAGGAACACCGGUGGCGAAAGCGGCUCUCUGGUCUGUAACUGACGCUGAGGCUCGAAAGCGUGGGGAGCGAAC
rnacentral:rRNA from 1 species